CGUCGCUCACGUUUUCACGACCAAUUAAAAACCUUUGUCGCACAAAGUUUUUUUUUCACGAUCUUUGCACUACGGAUUUAGCGCGCUGAAGUUUGUGCGACUCAAAUGUGCUUUGCACGACCAAAUCAUCUUCGUCGCGCAAAUAGUAAAAUGUGGUAGUGUGUGGUAUGAUAAUUGUGUUGUGUGCAGAUUUUGCGACCCGAUGACGAGAGAUCAUGCUGUUUUCAUUUGUGCGGCAGGGAAGUAUUCAACUCAAGCACAUCUAGAGGUUUCGAUGUCAAAAAACCUGUGGUUGUGCCAAAAGAUCAUCAAAACCUGUAGUUGUGCCUUCUAAAUACGAUUCUUACGAAAAAUAGAUGUGAUGUUGUCGAAUCAAUGAUUUACCAGAUGCUUAUAACUUUUGUAAUUUUGUAAACAUAUCAAUUUGUUUCGCUAGGCUCAGUCAUGUUGCAAGUAUUUAUUUGAAUCACAUGUAUUAGUUC